rnacentral:rRNA from 1 species
AGAGUUUGAUCCUAGCUCAGGAUGAAUGCUGGCGGCGUGGAUAAGGCAUGCAAGUCGAGUGGGUUUAGACCCACGGCAGACGAUGUAGUAACAGGUAGGAACCUUCCUCUUUGUCGGGGAUAUUCCAUCGAAAGAUGGCGCAAUACCCGAUAGUCUCUACGGAGUAAAGAUUUAUCGCAAAGAGAGGGGCCUGCUUCGUAUCAGCUAGUUGGUGAGGUAAUGGCUCACCAAGGCUAUGACGCGUAGGGGAGCUGAGAGGCUGACCCCCACAGAUGGAACUGAGACACGGUCCAUACCUCUACGGAGGGCAGCAGCCGAGAAUAUUCGACAAUGGACGAAAGUCUGAUCGAGCGACGCCGCGUGAUGGAUGAAGUCCCUCGGGACGUAAACAUCUUUUGUGAGGGAAAAAGUAAUUGAUUGUACCUCAAGAAUAAGGGGCUCCUAACUCUGUGCCAGCAGGAGCGGUAAUACAGAGGCCCCAAGCGUUACCCGGAAUCACUGGGCGUAAAGGAUGCGUAGGUGGCUUUGUUAGUCCUUCGUUAAAACCUUCUUGCUCAACAAGAAGAUCGCGAGGGAAACGGCAUGGCUCGAGGAUGUAAGAGGCGCGCGGAACUCAUGGUGUAGGGAUUAAAUCCGUUGAUAUCAUGGGGAACACCAAAAGCGAAGGCAGCGCGCUGGGACAUUCCUGACACUGAGGCAUGAAAGCGUAGGUAGCGAAAAGGAUUAGAUACCCUUGUAGUCUACGCCCUAAACGAUGAUCACUGGCUUUUGGGAGUAUCGACCCUCCCGGAGGCGAAGCUAACGCGUUAAGUGAUCCGCCUGGGUAGUACGGUCGCAAGACUAAAACUCAAAGGAAUAGACGGGGAUUCGCACAAGCGGUGGAUUAUGUGGCUUAAUUCGAUGUCGAACGAAAAACCUUACCAAGGUUAGAAAUCAUACUGCACGCCUCGGGAAACCGAGGAAGCCUUCGAGGGUGUAUGACAGGUGAUGCAUGGUCGUCGUCAGUUCGUGGCUUGAGCUGUUCCCUUAAGUGGGGAAACGAACGCAACCCCUGUCCCGUGUUACAAGUGUCACGGGAGACUGCUCCAUUUAUUGGAGAGGAAGCGGGGAUGACGCCAAGUCAGCAUGUCCCUCUGACACCCUGGGCUACACACAUGA